CUACGGGUGGCUCCAGUGGGGAAUAUUGGACAAUGGGGGCAACCCUGAUCCAGCCAUGCCGCGUGUGUGAAGAAGGCCUUUUGGUUGUAAAGCACUUUAAGCAGUGAAGAAGACCUAACGGUUAAUACCCGUUAGCGAUGACAUUAGCUGCAGAAUAAGCACCGGCUGACUCUGUGCCAGCAGCCGCGGUAAUACAGAGGGUGCAAGCGUUAAUCGGAAUUACUGGGCGUAAAGCGAGCGUAGGUGGCUUGAUAAGUCAGAUGUGAAAUCCCCGGGCUUAACCUGGGAGCUGCAUCUGAUACUGUUAAGCUAGAGUAGGUGAGAGGGAAGUAGAAUUCCAGGUGUAGCGGUGAUAUGCGUAGAGAUCUGGAGGAAUACCGAUGGCGAAGGCAGCUUCCUGGCAUCAUACUGACACUGAGGCUCGAAAGCGUGGGUAGCAAACAGGAUUAGAUACCCUUGUAGUC
rnacentral:rRNA from 1 species